GUAACGGCGAGUGAAGCGGUAACAGCUCAAAUUUGAAAUCUGGCCUCACGGUCCGAGUUGUAAUUUGUAGAGGAUGCUUCGAGCAUGGUCUGGCCUAAGUUCCUUGGAACAGGACGUCAUAGAGGGUGAGAAUCCCGUAUGCGGCCAGGUGCCUACGCUCAUGUGAAGCUCCUUCGACGAGUCGAGUUGUUUGGGAAUGCAGCUCAAAAUGGGUGGUAAAUUUCAUCUAAAGCUAAAUAUUGGCCAGAGACCGAUAGCGCACAAGUAGAGUGAUCGAAAGAUGAAAAGCACUUUGGAAAGAGAGUUAAACAGUACGUGAAAUUGUUGAAAGGGAAGCGCUUGCAACCAGACUUGCGCGCGGCCGAUCAUCCGGUGUUCUCACCGGUGCACUCGGCCGUGCUCAGGCCAGCAUCGGUUUUGGCGGCUGGAUAAAGGCCCUAGGAAUGUAGCUCCUCUCGGGGAGUGUUAUAGCCUAGGGUGCAAUGCAGCCUGCUGGGACCGAGGACCGCGCUUCGGCUAGGAUGCUGGCGUAAUGGUUGUAAGCGGCCCGUCUUGAAACACGGACCAAGGAGUCUAACAUCUAUGCGAGUGUUUGGGUGUCAAACCCAUACGCGUAAUGAAAGUGAACGGAGGUGAGAACCCUUAAGGGUGCAUCAUCGACCGGUCCUGAAGUUUACGGAAGGAUCUGAGUAAGAGCAUAGCUGUUGGGACC
rnacentral:rRNA from 1 species